CCAGCUAAGGUCCCAAAGUCAUGGUUAAGUGGGAAACGAUGUGGGAAGGCCCAGACAGCCAGGAUGUUGGCUUAGAAGCAGCCAUCAUUUAAAGAAAGCGUAAUAGCUCACUGGUCGAGUCGGCCUGCGCGGAAGAUGUAACGGGGCUAAACCAUGCACCGAAGCUGCGGCAGCGACGCUGAUGCGUUGUUGGGUAGGGGAGCGUUCUGUAAGCCUGUGAAGGUGUGCUGUGAGGCAUGCUGGAGGUAUCAGAAGUGCGAAUGCUGACAUAAGUAACGAUAAAGCGGGUGAAAAGCCCGCUCGCCGGAAGACCAAGGGUUCCUGUCCAACGUUAAUCGGGGCAGGGUGAGUCGACCCCUAAGGCGAGGCCGAAAGGCGUAGUCGAUGGGAAACAGGUUAAUAUUCCUGUACUUGGUGUUACUGCGAAGGGGGGACGGAGAAGGCUAUGUUGGCCGGGCGACGGUUGUCCCGGUUUAAGCGUGUAGGCUGGUUUUCCAGGCAAAUCCGGAAAACUAAGGCUGAGGCGUGAUGACGAGGCACUACGGUGCUGAAGCAACAAAUGCCCUGCUUCCAGGAAAAGCCUCUAAGCAUCAGGUAACAUCAAAUCGUACCCCAAACCGACACAGGUGGUCAGGUAGAGAAUACCAAGGCGCUUGAGAGAACUCGGGUGAAGGAACUAGGCAAAAUGGUGCCGUAACUUCGGGAGAAGGCACGCUGAUAUGUAGGUGAAGUCCCUCGCGGAUGGAGCUGAAAUCAGUCGAAGAUACCAGCUGGCUGCAACUGUUUAUUAAAAACACAGCACUGUGCAAACACGAAAGUGGACGUAUACGGUGUGACGCCUGCCCGGUGCCGGAAGGUUAAUUGAUGGGGUCAGCGCAAGCGAAGCUCUUGAUCGAAGCCCCGGUAAACGGCGGCCGUAACUAUAACGGUCCUAAGGUAGCGAAAUUCCUUGUCGGGUAAGUUCCGACCUGCACGAAUGGCGUAAUGAUGGCCAGGCUGUCUCCACCCGAGACUCAGUGAAAUUGAACUCGCUGUGAAGAUGCAGUGUACCCGCGGCAAGACGGAAAGACCCCGUGAACCUUUACUAUAGCUUGACACUGAACAUUGAGCCUUGAUGUGUAGGAUAGGUGGGAGGCUUUGAAGUGUGGACGCCAGUCUGCAUGGAGCCGACCUUGAAAUACCACCCUUUAAUGUUUGAUGUUCUAACGUUGACCCGUAAUCCGGGUUGCGGACAGUGUCUGGUGGGUAGUUUGACUGGGGCGGUCUCCUCCUAAAGAGUAACGGAGGAGCACGAAGGUUGGCUAAUCCUGGUCGGACAUCAGGAGGUUAGUGCAAUGGCAUAAGCCAGCUUGACUGCGAGCGUGACGGCGCGAGCAGGUGCGAAAGCAGGUCAUAGUGAUCCGGUGGUUCUGAAUGGAAGGGCCAUCGCUCAACGGAUAAAAGGUACUCCGGGGAUAACAGGCUGAUACCGCCCAAGAGUUCAUAUCGACGGCGGUGUUUGGCACCUCGAUGUCGGCUCAUCACAUCCUGGGGCUGAAGUAGGUCCCAAGGGUAUGGCUGUUCGCCAUUUAAAGUGGUACGCGAGCUGGGUUUAGAACGUCGUGAGACAGUUCGGUCCCUAUCUGCCGUGGGCGCUGGAGAACUGAGGGGGGCUGCUCCUAGUACGAGAGGACCGGAGUGGACGCAUCACUGGUGUUCGGGUUGUCAUGCCAAUGGCACUGCCCGGUAGCUAAAUGCGGAAGAGAUAAGUGCUGAAAGCAUCUAAGCACGAAACUUGCCCCGAGAUGAGUUCUCCCUGACUCCUUGAGAGUCCUGAAGGAACGUUGAAG
rnacentral:rRNA from 1 species